UGAAGCUGUCAGGAAUGUGUCAGAAAUAUUUAUUCUAAGAUUAUAGAAAUAUAUAAAACUGUGUGCUAUAGGUAGAUAACAUUCAAUCAGUUCUCAGCUCUGCAUUCUAUAACUGUAAGACAAAUUUUGAAUAAAAGCAAAAAAAUUAAAUGAAGAAAAGUAAUAUCAUAAAGGGGACUGGAGCAGCUGGUGCAGCAGAAAGGAGCUAUCCACAAGGUGGCAGAGCAUCUCCAUGGCUGCAAACUCACAAAGAGACUCUCUGCUUGCCUGUCCUAAGAGCAGCCUGCAAUCCGCAGCCCUCUGCACAGACAGAUGAAGAAGCCUCAAUGCUUUGACACAGAGCUGAUCACAGAAGCAUCCUGUCUGACUGAAGGCCACAGUCCGGAGGGAGAGCAAUGAAGACACUGACUGAACCAUUGUUCCUGUUCUUCUGGCUGCAGCUGAAUUGUGUGAGCAGAGGAGAGCAGGUGGAGCAGCACCUGUCUCACUUGAGUGUCUGGGAGGGAGACAGUGCCGUUAUCAUCUGCACCUACACAGACAGCCUUUCCUCGUAUUUCUACUGGUACAAGCACGAGCCUAGAGCAGGUCUCCAGUUGCUUAUUAUGCAGUAUUUCUGGAGUACAGAAAUAAAAGAAGGACAAGGAAUCAUUGUCCUACUGAACAAGAAAGACAAACGGCUCUCGCUGAACAUCACAUCUGCCCAUAUUGGGGACUCUGCCACAUACUUCUGUGCAGUCAGUACACAGUGCUCCUCAGGCACGUCCUGUCUGUACAUAAACCUGAGACCAUGGCCAAAGACAGAUGCAUUUUCCUCUGUUGAGAUAAGGAGUUUCCUGUAUUUUAUGCUUAGGAAACAGAUGUUCUAAUACAUCUUAAAAUCCUGUUUCUAAAACAUACAAUGAGCAUAUUGAAUGACGUCUUAGUGAGAAUAACUAAUUAGAUGUCAACACUCUAGAGUUGAUUGACAGGUGCCAUUUAGAUUGCCCCCACUCUAAAGACAUCUCAGUGCAACUGCUGGAGAAUACUCAUAAUACAAAGGUUCUUAUCUUUUAAUAAUGGUACUUAGUAUGUCCACUAGGAUAUUAAUGGAUGCUAUAGAAAAUCAUUAAAAUAGAAAGCAAUUUUUUCAA